GGAUUUCACUGGUUUAUCUUUACCACACAUGGUCGCUAAGAAAGCACACAUUGAAAAAAUUGAUAGUGUCAAUCAAGGCUAUGCAAAAUCUACUUUACCGGAGAAGACUAACUAGGAAUUGCAUCCUAGCAAUUGCGCAAGAACCAAAGAGGGUUGCACAAGUUUAUCUUCACCACAUAAACACACGGUUGCUAAGAAAGCACAUGAUGCUCCUGAGCCAAAGAUUGGUGAUGC